rfam:Ovis aries breed Texel chromosome 3, whole genome shotgun sequence.
UCCCUGGUGGUCCAGUGGCUAAGACUUGAACUCCCAAUGCAGUGGGCCUGGGUUCAAUCCCUGGUCAGGGAA